GACGAACGCUGGCGGCGUGCUUAACACAUGCAAGUCGAACGGAAAGGCCCUGCUUUUGUGGGGUGCUCGAGUGGCGAACGGGUGAGUAACACGUGAGUAACCUGCCCUUGACUUUGGGAUAACUUCAGGGAAACUGGGGCUAUUCCCGGAUAGGAGCUCCUGCUCCAUGGUGGGGGUUGGAAGUUUUCGGCGGUUGGGGAUGGACUCGCGGCUUAUCAGCUUGUUGGUGGGGUAGUGGCUUACCAAGGCUUUGACGGGUAGCCGGCCUGAGAGGGUGACCGGCCACAUUGGGACUGAGAUACGGCCCAGACUCCUACGGGAGGCAGCAGUGGGGAAUAUUGCACAAUGGGCGGAAGCCUGAUGCAGCAACGCCGCGUGCGGGAUGACGGCCUUCGGGUUGUAAACCGCUUUCGCCUGUGACGAAGCGUGAGUGACGGUAAUGGGUAAAGAAGCACCGGCUAACUACGUG
rnacentral:rRNA from 1 species